rnacentral:misc_RNA from 1 species
GUAGGUGAACCUGCGGAAGGAUCAUUAAUGAAUACCGCCCGGGGUUGACGCUGGCCUUUCCAGGCAUGUGCUCGCUCCGCUCAUAAUCCAUCUCACACCUGUGCACUCUCGCGUGGGUCGGUCGGGUCGCCCCUUCCGAUUCACGUCUCCUCACAAACUCUUGUAUGUCUUCAGAAUGGUAUCAAUGCUAUAAACGCAUCUUAUACAACUUUCAACAACGGAUCUCUUGGUUCUC